AACGCUGGCGGCGUGGAUAAGGCAUGCAAGUCGAACGAACCCUUCGGGGUUAGUGGCGAACGAGUUAGUAACGCCUUGGUACUUACCGUAUAGUUGGGAAUAACUAGCCGAAAGGUUGGCUAAUACCCAAUGGUCUCGCAAGAGUAAAGGAGCAAUCCGCUAUACGAUAGGCCUAGGUCCUAUCAGCUAGUUGGUGAGGUAAUAGCUCACCAAGGCUACGACGGGUAGGGGGAGUGAGAGCUUGACCCCCAACGACGGCACUGAGACACGGGCCGUACACCUACGGGUGGCAGCAGUCGAGAAUAUUCCACAAUGGACGAAAGUCUGAUGGAGCGACGCCGCGUGCAGGAAGAAGGCCUUCGGGUUGUAAACUGCUUUUCUAGGAGAAAAAGUCUGGCCAAUUGUGCCCGUUAACUUCGGUUAAUGGGUGCAAUUGGCUAGAUUGAUGGUACCUUAGGAAUAAGGGGUUGCUAACUUCGUGCCAGCAGCAGCGGUAAUACGAAGACCCCGAGCGUUAUCCGGAUUUAUUGGGCGUAAAGAGCGAGCAGGAGGUUUGGUGCGUCUGUUGUUAAAUCCCACCGCUCAACGGUGGAACUGCAAUGGAUACGAUCAAACUAGAGGAUGCUAGAGGUUACUGGAACGCACGGUGUAGGGGUGAAAUCCGUUGAUAUCGUGCGGAACACCAAAGGCGAAGGCAUGUAACUGGAGCAUUCCUGACUCUGAGUCGCGAAAGCGUGGGGAGCAAAAAGGAUUAGAUACCCUUGUAGUCCACGCCCUAAAUGAUGUCUACUAGCUAUCGGAAGUAUCGACCCUUUCGGUGGCGAAGCUAACGCGUUAAGUAGACCGCCUGGGAAGUAC
rnacentral:rRNA from 1 species